rnacentral:rRNA from 1 species
CGCUGGCGGUGUGCUUCACACAUGCAAGUCGAACGAGGUAGCAAUACCGUAGUGGCGGACGGGUGAGUAACGCGUGGGAAUCUGCCUUUAGAUGGGGGAUAACGGGUCGAAAGACUCGCUAAUACCGCAUAUGACGAAAGUUGAAAGGAGUAAUCCGUCUAAAGAUGAGCCCGCGUCCGAUUAGCUAGUUGGUAGAGUAAAAGCCUACCAAGGCGACGAUCGGUAGCUGGUCUGAGAGGAUGAUCAGCCACAAUGGGACUGAGACACGGCCCAUACUCCUACGGGAGGCAGCAGUGGGGAAUUUUACGCAAUGGGCGAAAGCCUGACGUAGCGACACCGCGUGAGCGAAGAAGCCCCUUUGGGGUGUAAAGCUCUGUCAGCUGGAACGAAAAAAAUGACGGUACCAGCAGAGGAAGCAUCGGCUAACUACGUG